UGCAUGUUGUUCCAUUCACGUACAUAUAGUAAGCCACCUGAUAAGCCGAAAUAGAAUGAAAUGAUUGUAGUUUUCCAUGAAUGUUCUUUUGAAGAAAGAGUAUAAGAGGCUGUAGAAUUAAUUUUCUAAAUUAGCAUCUAACCUGGUGUUUUCUGGACAUUGUAACCAUCAUUCUUUUGCAAGCAGGCACACGAAAAAUAAUCUGCCUUGGCCUGGUAUUGCUUUAGUGUAUCAGCAUAAGGACCAGCUUUCCCUUCCAGUAAUAUCUGCAAAUUAGGAGGAUCUGCACACCAGCAUAUUUGUUGUCCCAAGAGAACUCUUUCAUUGCCCAGCCAGUUCCACCCAUGUAUACACCAUUGUCCACCACAUACUUUAGGUAGUAUUUAUCUCCAGUUGCCAGGUGUAGCCACGUGGCAGCCCAUAAUAAUUCAUCCUACACAGCAGCAGCAGAGUCAGGCUUUUUAUUUGAUAAUGGAUACUAAUGAAAGUAAAAGCAGAACAGAGCAAUGCUAACUCACUGAGUAACCGGAAGAAGUAUAGAAUUGCUGAGCACUUGAAAUAGAGUCAUCAUAGAGACCUCUGAACCUAUCUGCGAAUGUGAAGAGCUGCGACAGAUUCAACAUUAUCAAUAACAAGUUAUCCAUUUCAUUAUCUAAGACCAGAGUAAGAAGAAUUGUAGGGCCUGAAAGCCAAAGCUGCAGCAGCCAAUGCAGCUGCAGUUUCACCUGCCAGAUCAGAGCCAGGGUGUUGUUCAUCAAUUUUGUAGGCACCUCUUGAUGUAGUCAUGUCUUCAGCACGCUCCCAGCAGUAAUGAUCAGAAACUCCAUCUCCCACCUGAAAUUUGUCCCGACAGAGCAACAUCAACAUCUUAUAUACUUCAAUUUUUGAAGAAGUCACAUGAAGAAACUAAUGUAAAAAUUAAAGUGUCACUGACUUUCUCACAAGAAAGUAUAGUUUGUUAAACUAAAUGAUCUAUAGAUUUGAAGUGGAGUGAUAAAGAUCAAUAAUGGCAAUGAUGUCAGACAAUGAUGACAAACUUAAUGAGGUCUUAAUCAGAAAACUUGCGUGUAAAUGUAAUACUAUAAUCAUUAACUCAGGCAGAUGAAAAUUGGUGAACGAACAAAAGAACACAGUUCCUGUCUG